UAGCCUGAUCUUUUAAUGUAAAAAUUAUUACUAAUUAUUAUGACAAUUUGAAUGUAGGAUCUAAUACUAUUUAUUAUUAAAAGAAAUCCGGCCUUCUUGGAGAAAUGGCUGGUUUGAAGACUGGGGCAAAGAUGGUAACAGUGCCAUGGAGAAGAGAACAGAGCUUGCACAGGAAAGGAGAAAACUAUAUUUGAAGCAUUUACUGUCAUAAAGUACUUCUGCAGAAGGAUUGGUUGCUCCGAGGGUCCCUAUGUCUACUAAACCCUCCUUAUUUUUACAUGGCCAUUCCACAUCUCUCCAGAUUUCAAAUCAGCUGUCCUAUGGAUUAAGUUUUCUGAUGAGUUCAUAAAAAGUCAUUAAUUUUCUGUCUGUCCAGCUUUCUUCUUGUUGCAAAUAUGAGAGCUACAGUUUUGAGCUGCAGCUACAAGUGACAAGAUUUUAAGUAAUUAAGUUACUAAAGCAAUGCAGGUAAACUGAAUGAUGAUAAAAAUUAAAGAAAAGUUGGCAUAAAUUUAAAGGAUAGUUUAGAAAGGAUGUAUGAGUGAUAUAACUAAGAAGAUAACAUCAGUCCAAAAAAUUUGUAAAUACUUAUUGAGCAUUUACUAAGUGCAAUGUAUCUUAUUAAGUGCUUGCCUAACUUUUAAAAUGGAGUCUUUUCAAUUUCAACUAACCACUUAACUAACCACUUCUAGUUAAGUUCUCUUAUUAUUCCCAUUAUGAAGAAACUGAGGCACAGAGAGUUAGGUUGACUUGCUGAAGGUCAUACAAUUAAUCAGUUUUAGAACUGGGACUCUAAUUCAGGAAGUCUGAAUCCCCAGUCUGUCUUCAUAUAAUAAAUAAAAUGAGGCUACCACUUUUUUCAGAUAUUAAAAGGAACUCAGUUGAACAAAGAAAGAACAUGCUGUAAGAAAUAGUUCAAUAGCAGAAGAUACUAUAACAGUAAAUGAAAGGAGACAUAUUCUCAGAUUGAAAGGAAGGAAAGAAAAGGAAAGCCUGUGAGGAUUUUAGAGCAUCCUGACCAUGGCAGCAUGUCUGACCCAGGCAGACAGUUCUAAGAGUUGCUUGGAAUGGUAUUCAAGGUCCAUAGGAACAAAACUGUCCAUCUUAUCUUACUUUUCUUGUAUAUACCCUCAGAUGCCUCUCUAUUAUUCAAUGGCAACUCCAGCUCUUGAACUCUGAAAAUUCCACUGAAAGUGGUGAAGAAAGAUUCUUAUUUUAAAUUAUAUCUUCCCACUCUUUGUGAGUAUUAUGUGCAUUACAUUUCUAAAGAAUCAUUCUCUUUGCCUGAGGAACAAGACAGUUUAAAAAUAACUUGUGUUGUGAUUAAAAAAGCCUUUGUAUAAGGAUACCUGAAAGAAAGUGUGUACAGGUAUCUGUAUAACAUAUAAUGGAUGAUAGCUUUCUUUUUUCUUUUUUCAGAUUUUUUUCCUGAUUAAAAUAACAAACUUA